CCAAAGUUAGAUGACUUGUAACUUUUAUAGAACAUUAUUUUAAAUGCAAAUUUUAGUUUUAAUUAUAUAAUUUUUAAAUAAUUCAAUAAUUAAUAAAUUUGCAGUAAUUAAUUUUAUUUAUUUAAGGAAUUAAGAAAUAGUAAUUGUUUUUAAUAUAAACUAAAUUUGUGCCAGCAGUUGCGGUUAUACAAAUUAUAUAAUAAAAUUACUUCAGUAGUAGUUAAUUAAAUAUUGAUUGAGUUAGAAUUAAUAAAUGAAUUUGUUAGGUGAAAUUUUAAAUUUAUAUAAUUUUAUACUAUUUGAUGAGGCUAGUAAAUUUUAUUUAAAACUAGGAUUAGAUACCCUAUUAUAAAAAUGUAAAAAUUAUUACUAAAUUAGUAUUAGUAUUCUUGAAAAUUAAAUCUUUUGGCGGUAUUUUAGUCUAUUCAGAGGAAUCUGUCCUAUAAUUGAUAUUCCACGAUUUUAAUUACUUAUUUUUUAAGUUUGUAUAUCGCCGUAGUUUUAAAUAUUUUAAAUGAAUUAUUAAUAUUUAUAAAUUUUACUUAAAAAUAAAUCAGGUCAAGAUAUAGUUUAUAAAUAAGAAGAGAUGGAUUACAUUAUUAUUAUAUUUGGAGUUUUUAUUGUAUAAUUUAAAUGAAACUGGAUUUGAAUGUAAUUUUUUAUAAAUUUAAAGAAUGAUUAAAGCUCUAAAAUAUGUACAUAUCGCCCGUCGCUUUCACUUUAAAGUGAAAUAAGUCGUAACAGAGUAGAGGUACUGGAAAGUGUCUCUAGAAAAUC
rnacentral:ncRNA from 1 species